GCUUGCUUAAAGGGGCCGUAGCAGGUUUUGUAAAUUUCUUGUGAAACUGCCAGGCUUAACUUGGCAAUGUGCAGGAAACACUGCAAGACUUGAGACAGGGAAGGGUCAGAGGUAUUCCUGAGGGAGCGGUAAAAUGCUAUAAUCUCAGGAGGACCACCGGUGGCGAAGGCGUCUGACUAGAACUGAUCUGACUGUGAGGGACGAAAGCUAGGGGAGCAAACCGGAUUAGAUACCCGAGUAGUCCUAGCUGUAAACGCUGUGAGCUAGGUGUCGCGCAUUCUACGGGAAUGCGCGGUGUCGUAAAGAAGUUACUAAGCUCACCGCCUGGGAAGUACGGUCGCAAGACUGAAACUUUAAGGAAUUGGCGGGGGCGCACCACAAGGGGUGCGGCGUGCGGUUUAAUCUAACUCAACACAGAGAACCUUACUAGGGGCGACGGCAAGAUGAAGGUCAUGCUGAAGACAUUACUCGAUGAGCCGAGAGGUGGUGCAUGGCCGUCGCCAGCUCGUGCUAUGAAGUGUCCAGUUAAGUCUGGCAACGAGCGAGACCUGUAUCUGCAAUUGCUAACGGCAUUACGGUGGACCGAGCACAUUGCAGGGACUGCCUUGGAAACAAGGAGGAAGGUGCAGGCUACGGUAGGUCCGCAUGCCCCGAAAAGCCGAAUUCCAGCAACCUGGG
rnacentral:rRNA from 1 species